CCUACGGGUGGCAGCAGUGGGGAAUAUUGCACAAUGGGGGAAACCCUGAUGCAGCGACGCCGCGUGAGUGAUGAAGGACUUCGGGUUGUAAAGCUCUAUCUGCAGGGACGAAAAUGACGGUACCUGAGUAAGAAGCCACGGCUAACUACGUGCCAGCAGCCGCGGUAAUACGUAGGGGGCGAGCGUUAUCCGGAUUUACUGGGCGUAAAGGGAGCGUAGGCGGACUUUUAAGUGAGAUGUGAAAUGCUCGGGCUCAACCUGCGUACUGCACUUGAAACUGUACGGCUGGAGUGCAGGAGAGGUGAGUGGAAUUCCUAGUGUAGCGGUGAAAUGCGUAGAGAUUAGGAAGAACACCAGUGGCGAAGGCGGUUCACUGGACUGUAACUGACGUUGAGGCUCGAAAGCGUGGGGAGCAAACAGGAUUAGAUACCCUAGUAGUC
rnacentral:rRNA from 1 species